rnacentral:rRNA from 1 species
UACGUAGGGUCCGAGCGUUGUCCGGAAUUAUUGGGCGUAAAGAGCUCGUAGGCGGUUUGUCGCGUCUGCUGUGAAAUCCCGAGGCUCAACCUCGGGUCUGCAGUGGGUACGGGCAGACUGGAGUUCGGUAGGGGAGACUGGAAUUCCUGGUGUAGCGGUGAAAUGCGCAGAUAUCAGGAGGAACACCGGUGGCGAAGGCGGGUCUCUGGGCCGAUACUGACGCUGAGGAGCGAAAGCGUGGGGAGCGAACAGG